AUAUGUGUAUAUGUGUGUUUGGUUGAUCAGGCUUGAGUUGUGUGCUAUGGACCAAGUGCGUGGGACCCAUAUGUGAUGGAGUUUCUUUUAAUAUAAGCCUUUAGAGUUAACUAUUAUUAAUUGUUAGCUUUAUGGGUGUUAGUGUAAUGACUCAAAACAUUAUAGAAGAUGGAACAAUAGUUUAAUUCUUGAAGGGGGCCAUAGUGCAAUUUUGAACUUUAAAAGGCUGAAGUCAGCCGAGAACUCUCUGGAGUUCUCUGUUUUCCCUGCUUUUUUUUUUUCCCCCUUUUCCCGUUCUCUCUCUCUGUCUCUCAACUCUACCCAAACCCUAGACUUCAACCCCAAAAUUGGAUGUCAAGAUUCGAGAAUCUCGCAAAAAGGCAAGAAGAGAACGUGAUCUACGGACAGAGGGCUACACAUCUAUCCCAACAAUGUUGCAUUUGGCCAACUUUGGUGUUCCUAGCAUUUCGGGAUUCGGCUCUUUUGAACCGGAAGCAUAUGGAUAAUGAGUUUAUCCGUCGGUGUAUAGUUCGUAAACCCACGCAGGAUAAGGUGUUCCAUAGGCUUUUGGGUUAGUAGCCCAUAAAUUUGGAUGAUUAGGGACCUGAUCAGUCGCCUAGGAUUGGUACACAACUUGUUAAUUUGGACUAUCGGCCUUAUGUGCUCUUAUUUUCUCCUAUUGACUUAUAAUUUGAUGUGUUUAUGUUUGAAGGAUUUUGGAUAUAUGAGAUGAGAUGAGCUUACGUGGUUUGGUUAUAACUUGGUAUUUGGAGAUUUGGAUUAUUAUCUGAACGGAUUAUUUUUAUCAUU